rnacentral:lncRNA from 1 species
AUGGAACAUGCUGGCCUCUCCUCCCAUAUAAAUGCCUGCGCCUGUUUUCAUGAGCAUCUUCCUCUCCCUCUGUCUCUCUACCUCUGUCUGCCCCAUCUCUGUCUCUCAGUCUCUAUCUGUCUCUCUAUCUCUGUCUACCUUAUCUCUGUCCUUCUGUCUCUCUGUCUCUCUACCUCUGUCUGCCCCAUCUCUGUCUCUCUGUCUCUACACACCUCUGUCUGCCCCAUCUCUAUCUCUGUUUCUCCAUCUCCGUCUGCCCCAUCUCUGUCUCUCUCUGUUUCUCCAUCUCCGUCUGCCCCAUCUCUGUCUCUCUGUCUCUCUAUCUCUGACUACCCUAUCUCUGUCCUUCUGUCUCUCUCUCUACCUCUGUCUGCCCCAUCUCUGUCUCUCUGUCUCUCCACCUCUGUCUGCCCCAUCUCUGUCCCUCUGUCUCUCUCUAUCUCUCUCCCUCCUGUCUGCCCCAUCUCUGUCCCUCUGU